UUGGAUGUGGUGUACGGCGCACGCCCGCAUGCUUUGAAGUAGUCGACGCUAUAUGCGGCGGGAAGCCUGGGUUCAACUCCCAGCAUCCAAA